AUUGAACGCUGGCGGCAGGCCUAACACAUGCAAGUCGAGCGGAUGAAGGGAGCUUGCUCCUGGAUUCCGCGGCGGACGGGUGAGUAAUGCCUAGGAAUCUGCCUGGUAGUGGGGGAUAACGUCCGGAAACGGGCGCUAAUACCGCAUACGUCCUGAGGGAGAAAGUGGGGGAUCUUCGGACCUCACGCUAUCAGAUGAGCCUAGGUCGGAUUAGCUAGUUGGUGGGGUAAAGGCCUACCAAGGCGACGAUCCGUAACUGGUCUGAGAGGAUGAUCAGUCACACUGGAACUGAGACACGGUCCAGACUCCUACGGGAGGCAGCAGUGGGGAAUAUUGGACAAUGGGCGAAAGCCUGAUCCAGCAAUGCCGCGUGUGUGAAGAAGGUCUUCGGAUUGUAAAGCACUUUAAGUUGGGAGGAAGGGCAGUAAGUUAAUACCUUGCUGUUUUGACGUUACCAACAGAAUAAGCACCGGCUAACUUCGUG
rnacentral:rRNA from 1 species